rnacentral:rRNA from 1 species
AUUGAACGCUGGCGGAAUGCUUUACACAUGCAAGUCGAGCGGCAGCGCGGGGCAACCUGGCGGCGAGCGGCGAACGGGUGAGUAAUGCAUCGGAACAUGUCCAUGUCGUGGGGGAUAGCCCGGCGAAAGCCGGAUUAAUACCGCAUAACGCCCGAGAGGGGAAAGUGGGGACUCGCAAGGGCCUCACGCGAUUGGGUUGGCCGAUGUCCGAUUAGCUAGUUGGCGGGGAAGAGCCCACCAAGGCGAUGAUCGGUAGCUGGUCUGAGAGGAUGAUCAGCCACACUGGGACUGAGACACGGCCCAGACUCCUACGGGAGGCAGCAGU